rnacentral:misc_RNA from 1 species
UCCGAGUUGACCCCGGCAGUCUCCCAUGAGUCCCCGGCAUUAUCCGCUGGCAACAUGGAACGAGGGUUGCGCUCGUUGCGGGACUUAACCCAACAUCUCACGACACGAGCUGACGACAGCCAUGCACCACCUAUCGCAGGCCCUUACGGACACCGCGUCUCUACGGCUUUUCCUGCGUAGUUCAACCCAGGUAAGGUUCUUCGCGUUGCAUCGAAUUAAAGAACAUGCUCCGCUGCUUGUGCGGGCCCCCGUCAAUUCUUUUGAGUUUUAGCCUUGCGGCCGUACUCCCCAGGCGGGGCGCUUAAUGCGUUAGCUGCGGCACAGAGAACCGGAGAGGCCCCCCACACCUAGCGCCCAACGUUUACAGCGUGGACUAC